GACGAACGCUGGCGGCGUGCCUAAUACAUGCAAGUUGAGCGCUGAAGGUAGGUACUUGUACCAACUGGAUGAGCAGCGAACGGGUGAGUAACGCGUGGGGAAUCUGCCUUUGAGCGGGGGACAACAUUUGGAAACGAAUGCUAAUACCGCAUAAAAACUUUAAACACAAGUUUUAAGUUUGAAAGAUGCAAUUGCAUCACUCAAAGAUGAUCCCGCGUUGUAUUAGCUAGUUGGUGAGGUAAAGGCUCACCAAGGCGAUGAUACAUAGCCGACCUGAGAGGGUGAUCGGCCACAUUGGGACUGAGACACGGCCCAAACUCCUACGGGAGGCAGCAGUAGGGAAUCUUCGGCAAUGGACGAAAGUCUGACCGAGCAACGCCGCGUGAGUGAAGAAGGUUUUCGGAUCGUAAAACUCUGUUGGUAGAGAAGAACGUUGGUGAGAGUGGAAAGCUCAUCAAGUGACGGUAACUACCCAGAAAGGGACGGCUAACUACGUG
rnacentral:rRNA from 1 species